GGCGAACGCUGGCGGCGUGCUUAACACAUGCAAGUCGAACGGUGAAGGGGUCUGCUUUUGUGGGCCCUGGAUGAGUGGCGAACGGGUGAGUAACACGUGAGUAACCUGCCCCCUUCUUCUGGAUAACCGCAUGAAAGUGUGGCUAAUACGGGAUAUUCUGGGUCUGUCGCAUGAUGGGUCUGGGAAAGAUUGCGCCUUUGGGUGUUUUUGGUGGGGGAUGGGCUCGCGGCCUAUCAGCUUGUUGGUGGGGUGAUGGCCUACCAAGGCGGUGACGGGUAGCCGGCCUGAGAGGGUGGACGGUCACACUGGGACUGAGACACGGCCCAGACUCCUACGGGAGGCAGCAGUGGGGAAUAUUGCACAAUGGGCGCAAGCCUGAUGCAGCGACGCCGCGUGAGGGAUGGAGGCCUUCGGGUUGUAAACCUCUUUCGCCAGUGAAGCAGGCCUGCUCCUUGUGGGUGGGUUGACGGUAGCUGGAUAAGAAGCGCCGGCUAACUACGUG
rnacentral:rRNA from 1 species